ACGCUUUUCGGUGGUCUUUUUCGCAAUUGACAUACACGCGGCUACAGGCAUACUUGUUGCACCAGCACCAUUAUUCCACAUUUCGUAACUAGUAUUAGAGAUGAACCAGCCUUUGGCUGAAAAUCUCUUUAAUAAAGAAAGAAAAGAAAAAAUCAUAACUACAGUCGUACCUCGAUAUAAGGCAUCCUCGAUAUAACGUAACUUUUUCAGAUGUCUUAGAAUUAAAAAUAAACAAUGCAGAAAUAGUUUUUGGAGUAUGAAUUAUGUUUCCAUUUCAAUUUGGAAUCUCAAUCUGGAUGACAGAAUUAUUCAAUAAAGUCGAAUUAAAUUAGUUCUGGAAACUUCCGGCGCAUAUCAAUACAUGGUUGAAUUUGUACCUAAUGGAAGUUAACAUCCGAAUCAUCAUUUGCCACACCAAACGAAUCAUGCGAGAUAACGAUAUCCAAACACAGCGUUCGAUUUCCAGAAAACCAGCCCGUCAACAGCGCGUGAUUGUUUUUGUUUGUAUCUCAAGGAAUCAGACCCGCGAUAGGCGCGCGGAUGCUAGCGUAAGCAAUUUAUGUAAACCUAAAACCAAGAUAGAAUGAAGCACAUCAGUUCUGUUUCGACCGUCAGAGAAGACGCUUCCAUUUUUUUCAAAAAUCCGAACCGACCCUUCAGGUCUUGGACAUUUCACAAACGUAAACAAUGACGUCGAUCGGUACUAGAGAUGUGCAAACCAGCUCAUCAUGGUGAACAGCUCAGAUCAGUUCAGCUCACCUAAAAGAGCUGUUCUUUAUGAACAGCUCUUCAGCUCAGUUGUCAAUACGCUAUACUCAUCGGAAAACAAAAUGUUACUGCGUGUGUACUGGAGCAAAACUAUCGUAAAUUUUUGUCAUUUCUCUAGUCUCUUUCUUUAUUCGUCAUUUCUCUAGUGGAAGGGAAUCGAUUCGGAGGUUCCGCGCAGGAAGCGAUGGAUAUCAGUUUGGCGAAUGAUGCACAAUCUCAACAACUUCGCCACACAACUAUAGUUCUACAACAGUACACCCAGCGAAAACCAUCACCAUUACUACCACCGACAGUAGCCCACAAAAUAGACAAAAUUAAAGAAUCUUCUAUCGAUAGUGGCAAGAAUGAAGGCGAUUUGGCACCGGUUCCGAAACCGGUCGACAGCACUACGAACGUAGCUAUUUCAGCAGAUUUGAUGUUCCAAUGUGACAAACGACGACGACUUCGGGCUUGGCGCCCGAGAGCAAUAACUCCGACACAGAGAUCCUGAACCAAUGUCGAUACAGUAGAAGAAAAAAUCCGCCUACAGCCUAGUGUCAAACCGAGUCAGUUGCCCCUACUGGCAGGUUACCUUCGGACAACAAUUAGUAGACAGACAGAUAGUAGACAUUUUAAAUUUGAUUGGAUUUCAAACAAAAAAAAGACGGGUGGGUAAUGUCGGGGACAUAACCGGAGUGACGUAGGACUAUACAAAGGGGACAGCUUUUGUUAAAUAUAUAUUUUAAAUAUA